rnacentral:sRNA from 1 species
UGGAUACCAACAGAGAUGGCUAUAUUACUUUAGAAGAAAUGACCAAAGCUUACAGAGAGAACGAUAGAACAGUUAAACUCCGAAGGAUCAGAGCCAACAAGAAGAAACGAAAGGACCAAGGGCUGGAAGAUCUCUGGAAAAUUCUGAAAGAGCUCAUCGCGAAGAGAAAAGCUGUGAACGACAAACGAGCUCAGGCUGGACAGUAGCAGACGAUCUAAAGAAAAGAUAGUAGCAGACGAUAUAAAGAAAAGAUAGUAGCAGACGAUAUAA